CAGUCGCCACGGUAAUACGUAGGGUGCGAGCGUUAAUCGGAAUUACUGGGCGUAAAGCGUGCGCAGGCGGUUCGUUAAGACAGAUGUGAAAUCCCCGGGCUUAACCUGGGAACUGCAUUUGUGACUGGCGAGCUAGAGUAUGGCAGAGGGGGGUAGAAUUCCACGUGUAGCAGUGAAAUGCGUAGAGAUGUGGAGGAAUACCGAUGGCGAAGGCAGCCCCCUGGGCCAAUACUGACGCUCAUGCACGAAAGCGUGGGGAGCAAACAGGAUUAGAGACCCGCGUAGUCCCUGUCUCUUAUAC
rnacentral:rRNA from 1 species